CCUGCAUUGGCAGGCGGACUCUUUACCACUGAGCCGCCAGGGAAGCCCCUACUGUACCUUGGGGAACACAAAGCGAGCAAGGAGAUGGAUUUUCACAGAGUGUACACUUUGAUUCCUCAUUAAACGUCAUCUCACCAACAUGCCAUUCCAGGAAUCAGGCCCAGGUUAGAGCUGAACCCUGAGUCCUCGAAUAAGCUUUCAGUACUCAACUCAAAUGCCCCGUUUUCCCUUGUCAGAAGGGAUCAGCACCAGGAGAAGACAGUGGCAGCGUCCCUGGGACUCGUGAUUGGCCUUGCCCCAGAUUACAACAUUCAUGCCAGAUGGACUUUCUGAGGCACAGCAAACAACAGCAACAGACCAGGACCCUGGCCCACAGGUCCUUCCUGCUGGAGCUGCACAGCAAAUGGUGUCUCUGAGCAAGUGAUCCAACCAAGAGAAAGUAGCAGAGGCCAGAACAGGUACCAACACCAACCGCUACUCCCAGAACGUGGCAGAAAGAAAACUCCACCCUACCACACACAGCCCCAGGUUAUCUACAAUCACCUUUACUCAAGACAGAACCUUGCAGUAUUCCUGAUUUUGGGUAGAUCCUCAGAAACAUCCAGGAGAGACACAACUGAUCCUCUUUAUUCCCAAGAGGCCUUGGAGUCAGACAGCUUGGAUUUGUGGUCCACUUCUUACAAACUGGUAUGAUUUUGGGAAAUUUCCUUUUUCUGGGGGGUAACUCCCUUAACUAUGAUAAUAUGUAUAUAACAUACUGUUGAUCAUUUUAGCCACUUGAAGUGUACAAUUUGGUGGCAUUAAAUACAUUCACAAUGUUGCUGCAACCUUCGCCACUAUCUAUACCUGAAGCUUUAUCAUCUGCAUAUAAACUCGGAACCCACUGAAUUAUAACUUCCCGUUCUUUCACUCCUGCAUCCAACUGGCAACCUCUAUUCUACUUUUCUAGCUCAAUGAAUCUGCCUAUCCAAGCAACUGCAUAUUAAGUGGACUUCUGUAAUAUUUGUCCUUCAGGGUCUGGUUUGUUUUACUUAAGCAUAAUAUUUUCUAACUCCAGUCAUGCUGUGGAAUAUAUAUCAAAAAUUUCCUUUUCGUGGCUGAAUAAUAUUCCAUUAUAUGCAGCCACCUCAUUUUGUUUAUCUGUUCAUCUGCUGAUGGACACUUGGGGUGUUUUCAUCUUUUGGCUACAGCGAAUAAUGCUGCCAUGAACACUGCUAUCAUUCCUGCUGUGAACUCUUUUGGAUAUAUACCUAAAAGUGGAACUGCCCGCUUCCAAGGUAGUUCUAUGUUUAACUUUCUGAAGAACUGAUGGACUGUUUUCCACAGCAGCUGCACCACUUUGUAUUCCCAUUAACACCGCACAAAUGUUUCAAUUUCUCCACAACCUCACCAAUGUGUGGCUUUUUAUUUUCCAUUUUAUUGUAUUACAGCCAUCGUACUGGAUAUGAAGUAAUGGCUCACUGUAGUUUUCAUUUGCAUUUAUCUAAUGACUAACAAUGGCAGGCAUCUUUCCAUGUGCUUGUGGGCCAUUUGCCCAUUUUCUUUGGAAAAAGUGUCUAUCCAAGUCCUCUGACUAUUUCUGAACUGGGUUGUUUUUUGUCGGUUGAGUUGUAGGCAGGCGUUCUUUAUGCAUUCUGGAUGUCAGUCUCUUAUCAGUCACAUAAUUUGCAAAUAUUUCCUCCCAUUCUAUAGGGUUUUUUUUUUUUCCCUUACUUUCUUAUGUCUUUUAAUGCACUGAAGUUUUUAAUUUUGAUGAAGCUCAAUUUACUUAUUUACUUUUGUUACCUGUGCUCUCGGUUUCAUAUCCAUGAAGUCACUGCCAAAUCUAAUGUCAUGAAGAUUUUCCCCAUUGCUUUAUUCUUGAUGCUUAAUAAUUUUAGCUCUUAAGUUCAGGUUAUUGAUCAAUUUUUAGUCAACUUUUAUAUAUAUUAUGAGGUAAAGGUCCAAAUUCAUCCUUUUGCAUGUGAAUAUUCAGUAUUCCCAGCAACAGUUUGCUGAAAACACUUUGCUUUCCCCACUGAUCUAGGCAUCCUUAUUAAAAAUCAACUGACCACAUAUGUGAGCCUUUCUUUCUAUUUGUCCCGCUGGCUUAUAUAUGUCUGUCUGUAUGCCAGUACCAUACCACCUAAUUACUGUAGCUUUGUAGAAAGUUCAAAGUCAGGACAUGUGAGUCCCAUAUUUUGUUCUUCUUUUUCAGAGAUUGUUUUGGCUAUCUGGAGCCCACCGAAAUUUCACAUGAAUGUGAAGACUAGCUUUUCCAUUUCUCUGAAAAAGGAUGUUGAAGUUUUGGAAGAAAGACUGCACUGAAUCUGUAGAUCUCAACAAUGUUAAGUCUUCCUAUUCAUGAACACAGGAUAUCCUUCCAUUUACUUGGGUCUUAAAAAAUUUCUUUCCAUCAAUGUUUUGUAGUUUCUAGCCUACCAGUCUUUUGCCUCCUUGGUGAGAUUUAUUCUUUAGUAUUUAAGUUUUUUAGAUCUUACUGUAAAUGGAACUGCCUUUUAAAUUUCAUUUUCAGAUUGUUAAUUUUCCUAGGCCCUUUAAGCUCCAUUUCCUCAUCUGAAAAGAGAGAAAUGGUAUGAACACUGCAAAUAGUUGUUACAGGGAAAAUGGAUACAGGAUAUACAGGAAUAAUGAAACCAUAGUAUAGCUUCUAAGGUUAGGGUUGGAGCUGUUCGGCCUAAAUUAAAAUCUGACAUUUACUAGCUGUGAACCUUGGGACUUUAUUUAAUCUUCUGUGCCUUCGUCUUCUCAUCUGUAAAAUGGGCCUAAAAAUAACCUAUCUUAUAGGAUUAUUAAGAGGAUUAAAUGAGUAAAUACAUACAUGUAAAGUGCUUAGGAAGGAGUCUAGCAAACAGCAGGAACUUUAUAAAUGACAAUUAGCCUUCCUGCCUGAAUUAUCACAGAGCCUUCUAAUUUGGUUUCUCUUCCGAGUUUCCUAUUAUCCAUUUUAUUCACUCUUUGUAAAUGAAUCUUUCAAAUCACUACUCUAAUUACAUUAUUUCCAGACUUAAAAUUAAUCUUUACUAGGUUUUCAUUACAAAUUAACUUCCAAGAGUUGCAUUCAAGACCUACCACCAUAUAGUGUCAAAUUACCUUUCUAAUCAAAGCUCCCACUGGAAUGCCUUUUAAACUGAAAGAGUACAUAACCACCACCCAUAACUCAACUAACAUUUAAGGAACACAAUCCAGGGUAAGAUACUUCACCCUAGAGCCCCUAUCUGCAAAAUGUCAGAUUACAGGAACUCUAACCUUACCACACCAAUUCAUCACAAGUGCUUCAUUCAAAACAGGUAUUCAAUUAUGAUUUGCUGAAUUAAGUUGAAUUUGCCUACUGCAUUCUUUUUUUGAAAAUGUUAUUGGAGUAUAGUUGAUUUACAACGUUGUAUUAAUUUCAGGUGUAUAGCAUAGUGACUGCCUAUUGCAUUCUUAAAUCUUAGUAACAUGUGUGGACAAAUGACGAAUCACCAAAACACUUAAUCACUACUUGAUUUGCCAAGAAAUUACCAGAUUUUUAAUGCUGACUUUGUCAAAUAAAUGAAAAUUUAGGCUGUAAUAAAAUUAUUACUGAAUGAUUAAAAUUUUUUCUUGAACGUUGAAUCCAAUCACACUGGGCUCCUGAAUCCUGAAGCAGUGGCAAAAUGAAACUUACAGACUGGCUCAACUGCACCUGUGCGCAGAGUGUAGGAUGUGUGCUACUAGGUGUAUUAACAGGAAGUUGGCAGAGAGGUCGUGCAUGAACCAAUGAAUGGGAAUACUGUUGACAUCUCAACUCCUUAGCAUACACGGGGAUGUAAACAUGGAUCCAGACCCCAUUUAGCUAUCAAGGAAAAGACUUGUAUGGCUGUAGUUAUAAAACUACUCUUGAAAAAAACUGGGUAGUCUACUUUAAAAACUGAGAUGUGAUGCUGAGAUUGUAAGUGACUUUUGUUAUUUCUUACAAGACAGUAGAAGUAUGCGCCUCAAAGCUAAACUGACCACAGAUAAAAAGCAUCUGAGAGCCUUCUCUUAGGAAGGCAGAAAGGGGAAAACAAAACAUCUAAAAACAAUUCAGAAAAACCUGAAUAUCUUCAACUAUAUAAUUUGUCUGUCAGUUUCAGGUUAAUCUUUUCCAGAAAACCAUCUUCCCAGCCAGAGGAAGUGUGCUGAAUGCAACUGAGAUUCAAGUUACUGACCCUGGCUGCCAAGGCAUUUGUGCCUGCAUAUUUUCAAUCUGUUUUUCUUUCUUUUUCUUUUUUUUUAAAGGAACUAGUCAUAAUGGAGAAAUCUGUGGAUCAGAUGCCCAGAAAAACCUUCAUGCUAGCAAGAAAGUCUUUCAAGCCCUUUCUGCCAAUACUUUCUUCAUUAUUUUGGGGAUCUACUAAACAUUUCUAUAUAAUAACUGUUGAGAUAAAGAUGGACAUUAUGAUUGUGAACCAUUUCUCAUCUAUUCAGGAAAAUAAAGAACAUCAAAAAAGGUAUCUGGAAAACUUUUCCCCCCAUCUAUUUCAAUGAAUUUUGAGAUGUAAAUAAAUGACUAUUUUGUCUCAUUUUACUAAAACCAAAUUUUAAAAGCUACAAUAUUUAUAAUAAAUCAAAUGAAGCUUUCAAUGAUCAAUUCAAUGCCUCUAUAGCACUUUAAAAACCAGCAUUUAUCCCAUAUCUAAAUAUUAUUUGUUUAUAUCUACCUCCCCCAAUGGACUACCAGUUACAAGUUCUCUUUCAUUUCCUGCCCAGAAUCCAAUCUAGAACCCAGCAUAUCAUAAGUGUUCAGUGACUGUUAGUUGACUCAUGGAAUAAAUCAGUGUUAUACAAUGGUCCAAAACAUACGACCCUAACUUUGUACCAGACAAGAGAGCUUGUAUCCUGUCUCCCAG